rnacentral:rRNA from 1 species
UACGAAGGGGGCUAGCGUUGCUCGGAAUUACUGGGCGUAAAGGGCUCGUAGGCGGCCAACUCAGUCGGACGUGAAAUCCCUCGGCUUAACCGGGGAACUGCGUCCGAUACUGGAUGGCUUGAGUGUGGGAGAGGGAUGCGGAAUUCCAGGUGUAGCGGUGAAAUGCGUAGAUAUCUGGAGGAACACCGGUGGCGAAGGCGGCAUCCUGGACUACUACUGACGCUGAGGAGCGAAAGCCAGGGGAGCAAACGGG